rnacentral:rRNA from 1 species
UACGAAGGGGGCUAGCGUUGCUCGGAAUCACUGGGCGUAAAGGGUGCGUAGGCGGGUCUUUAAAGUCAGGGGUGAAAUCCUGGAGCUCAACUCCAGAACUGCCUUUGAUACUGAAGAUCUUGAGUUCGGGAGAGGUGAGUGGAACUGCGAGUGUAGAGGUGAAAUUCGUAGAUAUUCGCAAGAACACCAGUGGCGAAGGCGGCUCACUGGCCCGAUACUGACCGCUGAGGUGCGAAAGCGUGGGAGCA